GAAAAUGGUAUUGGAACAGUGGGAAUCAGCAAUUUUGCACAGGAAGCUUUUUGGGAGAUGUUUACUGUAGUAUGCCUGAAAUUGGGACAAAAUCGAACAAACGAGACUAGUUUAGUGCUUUGGAAAGUGUGAAAGCUGCUACUGAACUUUAUUCUCCUCUAUCAGAAGAAGUUACCAAAAUUAAUGAAGCUCUUGUAGAAAAUCCAGGACUUGUCAGUAAAUCUUGUUAUGAAGAUGGUGGGCUGAUCAAGAUGACACUGAGUAACCCUUCAGAACUAGAUGAACUGAUAAAUGCAGAGGCAUAUGAGAAAUAUGUAAAAUCUACUGAGAGGUGA
rnacentral:lncRNA from 1 species